GACGAACGCUGGCGGCGUGCUUAACACAUGCAAGUCGAACGGAAAGGCCCUGCUUGCAGGGUGCUCGAGUGGCGAACGGGUGAGUAACACGUGGGUGAUCUGCCCCUUAUUUUGGGAUAAGCCUGGGAAACUGGGUCUAAUACUGGAUAGGACCAUGCUGUAGGUGGUGUGGUGGAAAGAUUAGUUUCGGUAAGGGAUGAGCUCGCGGCCUAUCAGCUUGUUGGUGGGGUAAUGGCCUACCAAGGCGUCGACGGGUAGCCGGCCUGAGAGGGUGGACGGCCACAUUGGGACUGAGAUACGGCCCAGACGCCUACGGGAGGCAGAAGUGGGGAAUAUUGCACAAUGGGCGCAAGCCUGAUGCAGCGACGCCGCGUGGGGGAUGACGGCCUUCGGGUUGUAAACUCCUUUCAGCCAUGACGAAGCCCUUGUGGUGACGGUAGUGGUAGAAGAAGCACCGGCUAACUACGUG
rnacentral:rRNA from 1 species